AAACAGAAGUCUUGCAUUUGAAGAAGGAAGCCAGAGUACAACUAUUUCUAGCUUGAGUGAAAAAAGUAGAGAAGAAACUGGAAUAAGUUUACAGGAUCUUCUCUUAGAAAUCUACAGAAGUAUAGGGGAGCCAGAUAGUUUGUAUGGCUGUGGUGGAGGGAAGAUGUUACAACCCAUUACUAGACUACGAACAUAUGAACACGAAGCAAUGUGGGGCAAAGCCCUAGUAACAUAUGACCUCGAAACAGCAAUCCCCUCAUCAACACGCCAGGCAGGAAUCAUUCAGGCCUUGCAGAAUUUGGGACUCUGCCAUAUUCUUGCCGUCUAUUUAAAAGGAUUGGAUUAUGAAAAUAAAGACUGGUGUCCUGAACUAGAAGAACUUCAUUACCAAGCAGCAUGGAGGAAUAUGCAGUGGGACCAUUGCACUUCCGUCAGCAAAGAAGUAGAAGGAACCAGUUACCAUGAAUCAUUGUACAAUGCUCUACAAUCUCUAAGAGACAGAGAAUUCUCUACAUUUUAUGAAAAUCUCAAAUAUGCCAGGU
rnacentral:lncRNA from 1 species